rnacentral:rRNA from 1 species
AGGCUGCAACUCGCCUGCAUGAAGCUGGAAUUGCUAGUAAUCGCGGAUCAGCAAGCCGCGGUGAAUACGUUCCCGGGCCUUGUACACACCGCCCGUCACACCAUGAGAGUCGGGAACACCCGAAGUCCAUAGUCUAACCGCAAGGGGGGCGCGGCCGAAGGUGGGUCCGGUAAUUGGGGUGAAGUCGUAACAAGGUAAC